rnacentral:tRNA from 1 species
AGUUAAUGAACUUGUAUAAGUAUAUAUUUUGAAAAUAUAAAAAAGAGGUAUAGUCCUCUAUUAACUU